ACCUCUGUUCCUGGAAAUGGUGGUGUUGGUUACAGAGUUCAGGACAUCCCAUAGUUACUGGUGUAUGAAUAUUGUUGCUGGAUGAACACCUCUGCCAAGGCCGAUUAUCUCCCUGAUCCCUGCCUUAUAUUCCAUUUAGAGAUGUUUUGGAUGUGAAUAAAAUGUUUAGCUAGUAUAACUACAGCUGUGUACUGGCCUACCAGGAGAGAUGUGUGGCUUCCUGAUAACAUCCAGAAUCUCACUGGGAGCUUAUACUGUUGUCACAUCUCCAGAGUUCCCACCGUCACAUCCGUCACAGAGCUGUGAGCUUCCUCCUCCAGACCUGCUUAUGCUUUUGGGGAAGAAUGUUCUACCCAACAUGGACGAGGCAGAGAAGUACCAGCAGAGAGUGCAGGCUAUAGCGGACAAGCGACGUAAGCAGCAGGACGACGAGAAAGCAAGGCGAGAGAUGGAGGAGGAGUGGCUGAUGCAGGCCCAGCGCAAGGUCUGUCUGGAUCUGUCUGUCUGUCCUUCCCUGUUGUCCUGUUGCAGGAUGCCACAUGUCUGGCAGCUGGUUCGCAUGCCCAGGGUGGAGCCCUCCUGUGUGAUGAUAAACUCAAUUAGCUCCAUAACACCAGACAACAUCCCCAACACCAUGAGGUGUCCUGAGGCAUUCUCUAUUCCUCUGUAUAACAGUCUUUUUCUCCCUCCUUCCUGUUCACCUCUCUUCUGCUCAUCAUCUUACCAUGACCUCUGCUACCUUGACCUCUGCUACCAUGACCUCUGCUACCAUGACCUCUGUGACGGAGAGAGAAAUCACAUGAAAGAGAGGAACUGAAAUUAUGAGGUGGUUGUAGAGAAAGAGGGAGGGAGUGAGUCAGAGUGAGAGAGAGAGCUGUGCAUUGGUUGAUCUUUGUCAGUAACUCUCUCCUCCACUGGGACCACCAGCACUGAUCCCUGUUGGACCCCAUUAACUUCUUGACGUCGGAUCAGUGGUGGAGUGGCUAGAACCGCUCCAUCAACACAUAUCACUCAGGCAGCCGCCCACACAAACAGUCUACUCUACGUUACUGUGUUUGCCUGAGGAUGUGUGCUGUGCUGGCAACACCAGCCUUACACAUGGCAGAGGAAAGAGAGUUGUCUGAAGCCACAGGGCUUCGUUCUUCCUCAGUGUGAAGUGUGAGAACAGUCUCUUGUUCCCAGUCAGACCAGCAGUUAUAGCAGCUCUGUAUGCACAGCUCACUUCCCCUCCUGUCUUACAUUUAUUUUCGGAUUGUGAGCACAGUAAGAGACUGGUCCACAUGGAGCGGUCACAUACGUUCCAUCUGAAAGGUUGUCUUGGCAAAUAGUUGUGAACAAGGCCCACUUAGUGUCACCACCACUCCAAUAUAAUGUUGUGUCAUUGUCACCACAGUCUGUUGUUGUGGCUUGGCUUCCUCUCACACUCCCCACAUCGUCGAAUGACUAAUUGAUGAGGCUUGGAGCCAGGUAGGACUAUGUUCACCCCUAGGCUUGGUGUUGUCAUACCCGAGUUAGAAUGAAAGGAGGAUCCCUCCUUUACUGUACCUCUGGGCUCUGGAAGGUUUCUGCUUCAAAGGUUGAAAGGGAUCUAACUGAGUCACAGCCAAUACCGGUUGGUCCAUUUACAAACACUCUCAAAAUAAACAUGGUCAGGUUUAUUAUUGUCAGUCUCAAUCAGACCCCUUGUGAUCAAGCCUACACCCGGGUUCGAGGACGUGUGGCUCUCUGAGCCCUCCCUGUGAGGGAGACGGAGUUGGAGGCAGUUUCUCCCUCACAGACAGACAACACCAGGCUCUUGGCCUCACUCAUCCUGCUGGAGAUCCAAAAUGGCAGCCAGAGCUCUGUGUCUAGGGGCUGUUUGUUUUGGUUACAGCAUACUGGAUAACCAUUUUAGUAUUCAUAGAGACAGAAGGCUUUUGUUUUUGUUAGCUUCUUUUGCUAUGGGGAAUUUGAGAGAAUACGCUUGUUUUGAAAGGAUGAGCUGGCAGUUGGGGGAGCUGCAUGCUGAGAGAGAUGGCUCAGAGCAUAGGCCGUUCCAUGCAUAUGCUAACUGCACAGGACAUAGCAGAGCCUAGUCAUAGUCACCAACCCUCUUCCUCUCUCCAUCCCUCUCUCCCUCUCUCUCUCUCCAUACCUCUCUCUCUCUCUCCAAAUCUCUCCUCACAGCGGAAGUCCUUGAGGGACCAGUGGCUGAGCGAGAACCCUCAGCCUGUCCCUGGGCACAGCGCUGAGAACUACACAGAGGAGUGAGACACACACACACAAUCUAUCACUCCCCAUGCCUGUUGGCUGAGGGAGUUGAUAUGUUUAUAUAUCUCUUAAAGCACUUGGUACUGACCCUCCCCUGAAUUGUAGUCAUGCCUCUGCAUGUAUGUAUUGUAUGUGUGAAUGGGUUUGUAUGUUAAUGUGUUGGUUUCACGUGUUAUGUGGUGUUACGGUCAUCAUCGUGUGAAUGUAUGUGUAUUAGGUUGCCAACUGAAGAGGAUAUAGUGGAGGUCAUUGAAUCCACAAGCUACACAGUCACCAAUGCCCAGAACCACAGCCAGGCAAGUGGAGAAAGCAGAGACGUUCUGAGAACCUGAGUUUCAAUAUGAUUUUUAAUACACUCAAUCAACUAAAAUACCUCUGUGCCAUAUUAAAUAUCUCAUCAGAUUUUCCCCAUUAUAUACUGAACAAAAAUAUAAACGUAACAUGGAAAGUGAGCAUUUCUCCUUUGCCAAGAUAAUCCAUCCACCUGACAGGUGUGGGAUAUCAAAAAGCUGAUUAAACUGCAUGAUAAUUACACAGGUGCACCUUGUGCUGGGGACAAGAAAAGGCCACUAAAAUGUGCAGUUUUGUCACACAACACAAUGCUACAGAUGUCUCAAGUUUUGAGAAAGCAUGUACUUGGCAAGCUGACUGCAGAAAUGUCCACCAGAGCUGUUAUCUUAAGCCGCCUUCAACGUUGUUUUAGAGAAUUUGGCAGUACAUCCAACAGGCCUCACAACCGCAGACCACACGUAACCAUGCCAGUCCAGGACCUCCACAUCCGGCUUCUUCACCUGCGGGAUCAUCUGAGGAGGGGGACAGGGGGUGCUGAGGAGUAUUUAUGUCUGUAAUAAAGCCUUUUUGCGAGGAAAACCCCAUUCUGAUUGGCUGGGCCUGGCUCCCCACUGGGUGGACCUGCCUCCAAAGUGGGUGGGCCUAUGCCCUCCCAGGCCCAUGCAUGGCUGCACCCCUGCCCAGUCAUGUUAAAUCCAUAGAUUAGGGCCUAAUUAAUUUAUUUCAAUUGACGGAUUUCCUUCUAUGAACUGUAACUCAGUAAAAACAUUGAAAUUGUUGCAUGUUGCGUUUAUAUUUUUGUUCAGUGUACUUUUUUACCCCAAUGGUCUGUUUUACUCAAUAGUCUCAAUGUUUUUACAUCAACAGCUGAUUCAGUUUGGAACUGUGUAAUAUAAAUAGCUUUGAUAUUUAAAAACUACAGCAGUUCAAGAUCUUUUCCCUCACUAAGCCUUUGAUUCUACAGAUUGAUGUUCAGCAGAAACCACUCUUCUCUAUAGUAAAGUAUCCCCUUGGUCAUGCAGUUAUGACCUUUUCAACUGAUUGGUUUUUGCCUCCCUUUGGAAAUCAAACCGCAGUAAAUUGCAAAGUGCCGAUCCCCUGUUUUCAAGUAGGAGUGUAUGUAUGCUACCCAAUGGAAAACUGGCUCUGACAUUUAGUGACAUUAUAGCCCUACACGUUGGGGGAGCCCUAAAGGGUGUCUGGCUAUUGACUGACAGGACUUUGACCCCGUACCAACUGUGAACUCUACAGGGGAACAUACACUGAGUGUAUAAAACAUUAGGAACACCUUCCUAAUAUUGAGUUGCACCGCCUUUUGCCCUCAGAACAGCCUCAAUUCGUCGGGGCAUGGACUACAAGGUGUUGAAAGCAUUCCACCAGUAGCGGUGCGUGGAUAAAAUCACUAGGGAAGCCAAGCCAGAAAAAAAGUGAUAAUUGCAUUGUUUGCUCUAUAACCUGUUAGUUCAUAUGCCUUGCCACUAUAUAGGCCUAAGGCCGAGACAGUAAGAAGAUACAGUGGCAGAAAAAUUCAACCACACCUUUGUUUCAUCACAAAACCGGAGAGCAACAUCUGUCCGGGGAAGUCCACAAAGCAGAUUGCAUGUAACAGACAGUUAUAUGACCUACAGCAUAGUCAAGCAAGUUGAUGUUUCCGACAUUUUCUGACUACUAAACAACUAUUGAUUUAGAACCACAGACAGUUACCGCAAGUCGCAAAGACAACAGGAGCUGCCUCCACUAUUCCAGCACCAUUUCAACUUCAACAUUUCAACAUCAUCUAAUCAUCUAUGCUUAGUCUAAUACAGUGACAACUAAAAGAUACCAAAAACUAUUUAGUCCAAUCGACAUAUGCCAACUUGAUGUGGCUGUCCAUAGUACUGAUGUGUGUGUGUGUGCGCAUAAGUGGAAAAAACAUGUUGACUCACCCUACUUCUAGAGAAACGCCAAUGUCAUCCUGCUCUCUUUCAUGUUGAUGAAAUGGUCUAUCACUCUGUCAUAGAGUACACACUUGUAUUUUUGUUGCCCUAGGCUACCUGGCUAAAAUACUUGCUCGCUAGCCCAACUUCCUUUCAUAGGCAACGAUUAGCAAGUUAACAUUAGCCUACUACAUCUAGCUACAUAUUGAACUUCCAUCCUCUCAAUUCAGGGGCACAACAAUGUAUGAAUUUAUGGUUGGAUCAGAAUCGCCGUUAUAUCAUUGUCCAGUACGGAGAAUUAAGUAAAACCACAAGUCCAAAACCUUAUCUCCAUCCAUGGCUAAUUUAGGAAAGGUGACAUCAAUAAGGGAUCAUAACCUUUACCUGGAUUCACCUAGUCAGUCUAUGUCAUGGAAAAAGCAGGUGUGUUUCGCACACUCAGUGUACAGUAUAUAAUAUACUGGCCAUGUCACGACUUCCGCCGAAGUCGGUCCCUCUCCUUGUUCAAGCGGCGCUCGGCGGUCGACGUCACCGGCCUUCUAGCCAUCGCCAAUCCACUUUUCAUUUUCCAUUUGUUUUGUCUUUGUUUUCUACACACCUGGUUUCAAAUCCCCCAUUACAUGUUCAUUAUUUAACCCUCUGGUUUCCCCCAUGUUUGUGUGCGUGUUUGCUCUAUUGUUCAGGCUGUUACUGACGGCUGGUAUUUUGUUGCCGGGUUUUGUUUUCACGCCAGUUUAUUUUUGUGGUACCAGUAUUUUUCCCGCACCGCAGUAUUGUGUUUAUACUGGUGUUAUCUUGUAUUAAAUUACUUGAACUUUUACAUUCAGGUUCAUGUAUGGUCCAUAUUUAGCUCACACUAACACUUGGUAAGGAAGUUCAGUGUGUAUUCAUCUCUAACACUCAUGGUGGGACGAAGCUGAGCCCAGCGCCACACUGCUCUAAUGGUUACUGUGACAUAUUUAUGGCAGUGCGCAGGGCCUGGGAGAGAUCAGGGAUGAAGAGGAAAGUGUUUGGAGGAGACAGUGACUGUAGGACCGAUUGGACCAGGGGUUCCACUUAAAAUUGUCUCCUCUGCUUCCCCAUAGGCUGACAUUGAAGAGGGUGGGAUACAAGGUAAGCUUCACCUGCAUGGUCCUAUAGCCCUAGGCCUGGAUAUCUCAUUCAUUCUCACUUUCUCUUAGACCAUCCUGCAUGUGACUGUUCUUUCAUCUCUUUCUGACUGACACUAAUGUAAUCGGGGUGACAGAAUGAAGCCACAGCUGUGAUUGUUUUAUCAUUGAU
rnacentral:lncRNA from 8 species